rnacentral:rRNA from 1 species
UACGGAGGGUGCAAGCGUUGUCCGGAUUUAUUGGGUUUAAAGGGUGCGUAGGUGGCCCUAUAAGUCAGUGGUGAAAGCCCGGAGCUCAACUCCGGAAUUGCCGUUGAAACUGUAAGACUUGAGGAUGAGAGAGGUGAGUGGAAUUCCCAGUGCAGAGGUGAAAUUCGUAGAUAUUGGGAAGAACACCGGUGGCGAAGGCGGCUCACUGGCUCAUUUCUGACGCUCAGGCGCGACAGCGUGGGGAUCAAACAGG